UUUCUGGGCUUUGGGGUCCCAGCGUUGUGGGCUGUUGUGCUUUGGGGUCCCAUCCCCCCCCCAUACACCCCCUUAACGUUGGCACUGACCCGGACCCGCAGCCCCCGGCGCCGGCGCUGCGCCGAGAGCCGCGAGCACCGCACCGGCAGCGCGCGCAGCGAGGGCUUCUACCCCAUCAGCCGCAGGGAGAAGGCUCGCUACCUGCACCCCUGUCCUGCGCCGCCUCCGGACCCCGACGGGCCCGACACGCAGGUACAAAAAUCUGCCCACAACCACCCCAAAACGGACCCAAAAUCGGACCCAAAUCAGACCAAAAUCCGCCCCAAAAUGGCCCCAAAAUUGGGCCGAAUCAGGCCAAAAUCCGCCCCAAAAGGGACCCAAAAUCGGACCCUGAAUCUGUCCCGAGUCGGAACAAAAUCCGCCCCAAAAUCCGGCCCGAAUCAGGCCAAAAUCUGCCCCAAAAUGGCCUCAAAAUCGGGCCCGAAUCAGACCAAAAUCUGCCCCAAAAUGGCCCCAAAAUCAGUCCCGAAUCAGACCAAAAUCCGCCCCAAAACAGACCCAAAAGCGGACCCCGAAUCUGUCCCGAGUCGGAACAAAAUCCGCCCCAAAAUCGGGCCCGAAUCAGACCAAAAUCCUCCCCAAAAUGGCCCCAAAAUCGGGCCCGAAUCAGACCAAAAUCCACCCCCAAAUCGGGCCUGAAUCAGACCAAAAUCCGCCCCAAAAUGGCCCCCAAAUCGGUCCCGAAUCAGACCAAAAUCCGCCCCAAAAUGGCCCCAAAAUCGGGCCCGAAUCAGACCAAAAUCCGCCCCAAAACGGACCCAAAAUUGGACCCCGAAUCUGUCCCAAGUCAGAACAAAAUCCGCCCCAAAAUUGGGCCCAAAUCAGACCAAAAUCCACCCCAAAACAGCCCCAUAAUCGGCCCCGAAUCAGACCAAAAUCAGCCCCAAAAUAGCCCCAAAAUCGGUCCCGAAUCAGACCAAAAUCCGCCCCAAAAUCGGUCCUGAAUCGGACCAAAAUCUGCCCCAAAAUCGGUCCUGAAUCAGACCAAAAUCCGCCCCAAAAUCAGUCCUGAAUCAGACCAAAAUCCGCCCCAAAAUCAGUCUCGAAUCAGACCAAAAUCCACCCCAAAAUGGCCCCGAAAUCGGCCCCAAAAUCAGACCAAAAUUGGACCCAAUAUCUGUCCCAAGUCAGACCAAAAUCCGCCCCAAAAUCUGCCCCAAAAUCGGCCCCAAAUCUGUUCCGAAUCAGACCAAAACCAGCCCCAAGAUCUGCCCCAAAAUGGCCCCAAGAUCUGCCCCCAAAAUCUGCCCCGCAUCAGUCCAAAAUCUGUCCCCAAAUGGCCCCAAGGUCUGUCCCAAAUCAGACCAAAAUCGGCCCCAAAAUCUGUCCCAAAUCAGACCAAAAUUGGCCCCAAAAUCUGUCCCAAAUCAGACCAAAAUUGGCCCCUAAAUCUGUCCCAAAUCGGACCAAAAUCGGCCCCAAAAUCUGUCCCAAAUCAGACCAAAAUCAGCC
rnacentral:lncRNA from 1 species